rnacentral:tRNA from 1 species
AAAAUCCGUCGACUUUAUAAG